CCCCCUACCAUCCCAAGCUGGGGCAGGCUCCAGAAGGGAAGGGCUGGUAUUAAGGGGCAGGUAUUGUCACUGGGGCCUGUGUCCUGCGUUCCAGGGCUGGUAUUACCUCAGAGGUGCCCCUCAGCCCUGGGCCUCCAGGUAAGCUGUGAAACAGGAAAGACCACUGCAUAUGGCUGUGCAAUUUAUUUACAAGGGUACCAGGUUGAGAGGGAAUCAUCACGAUGGAGUUGUUAAUUCUUUUUUUCUGGAUUUUUUCCUCAACGUGUUUUUUUUGGUUGAAUUCUUUUAAACUAUU